AUCCCCGCUCACUCUCUCCGAACUCUGAAGUUCACUCCAGAGGCAGAGCCUCCCUCUCACUCCCUCACACUCACAAAUCUGCCACCGCCAACCGCCACCCGCCACCGUAAGGUUGCUUCCACGUCGCCGUCGCGUCCUCAUCCUGCGGGGAUCGCGUCUUUGCUGCUUCCCCCCUCGCUAGUCUCUGCAUCGCCGAGCUUGGUCUCCCUCUUCCUCCCUCGCAUUCUGCCUUCACAUAAUCAGGUGAAUUAAGGUGAUGAGCUGCACUCCAAGGUCAUUCUAAUGGUGUUGGGAACAACCCCACUCCUUAGGGCGCACACGAGCAGUAGCUAGAGCCACACCCACAUCCACACUGUCUUUGUUCUCCGUUGACCGGAAGUGCCAACGUCGUCUUCUCCAGAAUAUGGAGGCAAAUAUGACAACACCCCAUGAUGGUGGGGAUGAAGAAGAGUAUGUUUUGCUUGACUUGGAUGGUGUCUCUAACAUAAUUAACAUUCCACCAAAUGCUAAAUAUAUUCUCACUGGCCUUGAUACAUUAAACCCCGUAUUGAUCAUUGAUGACAAGUUGAAGCUGAUUGGGGAGUAUGAAGAAACAAUCGGCACAUGUAUAGCCUUCACAGAACAAGGUUGAAGUUGGGUUGGGACAUGUUAGCCCUCGAGUUGAAAUAGUAAAGAAUAGGUUAAGUUGGUAUUAAAAGGAAGAAAAUGACAAAAAACUGAGAAGCCAUGGUCUCUUCUUCCCCGUGCGCUGCUCUGCUUCGCUAUAUGCUCUGUGCUCUCUGGUUUGGCCUCUACUUCAGAAUGCACAUAACCAACACUAAUUUAUCAUCAAGUGUGAGUGACAUUUUUUUUCCAAAAAAAAAAUGAUGUACCUGAAAAAGCAUAGGCCGAACUAGAGAGCACAAAGAAGAGCAUGGAAGACAAAGAGACCAUGACUGGCGAAGUAGAGAUCGAAGGUGAAGCAAGGACAAGAAGCAGAGCAUAGGAUUUUGAAGCAAACAAUAACCCCGUGGUUCAUGAAGAAUCUGGACCAUCUGAUGCGAACCUUUUCUCCGCAACAAGAAUAAUCGAUUCAAAUCAGCCUCCAACAAAGGAAGUGAAACCUCUAUGCCAGCUUCAUAAGGUUCUCAAGUUUAAAAUCUCACCUGAUUCUGAAAUUCAAAGUGCAACAACUAAGGAUGCCAAAUGAAUUUAAAUCGUAUUACAAUAUUCAGUUUUCCUAUCAUUUUCUCAUAUCUACAUAGAUUAUUAAACUGGUUGAACUAAUGGCAGUUGCAUGUAAUUGGGAGAACAAAAAGAAAAAAAAAAUGGUGAGGUUUGUAUCGCACUGUACAGUACUACAGUAGUAGGCUUUAGAAGCCUUUGAUUUCCUCCUAGAUAUGUACAAAGAAGUUUAAAAAAAUUAGUGUACUUUUUAAUUUAAUUCGAUU